rnacentral:lncRNA from 1 species
GAAUCAGCAUUUCUUCUUCCCCAAAAGUUCUUCUCCUCUAAACCCUUCUUCUCCCCAUUCUUCUCUAUCUCUAAUUCCCCACCUCAAAUCUCUAUCCCAACUCCUUAUUCCUCUCUAUCUCUAUCUCCAUCUUUAUCUCUAUUCCCUCUCUUCUCAUCCCCAUUAUUGGAAAUAUAAAUCUACUAAAAUAAGUAAUUAGUUUGAAUUUUUAUCAGAUCAGUUGUCAAAUUAUUUAAAUCCAAAAAGUUGAAAGAUUGGAGUAAUAAAAUAAAAAUUUUAAAAGAUUAUAUAAUCGAUUUAAAAUGAUCCAUAAUUCAAAUAAUUUAUGUACAUUUGUAUCCUGAUUUUAU